UACGUAGGUGGCGAGCGUUGUCCGGAUUUACUGGGCGUAAAGAGCGCGCAGGCGGUCGUUCAAGUCGCGUGUGAAAGCCCCCGGCUCAACUGGGGAGGGUCACGCGAUACUGAUCGACUCGAAGGCAGGAGAGGGAAGUGGAAUUCCCGGUGUAGUGGUGAAAUGCGUAGAUAUCGGGCGGAACACCAGCGGCGAAGGCGGCUUGCUGGGUCUAUAUUGACGCUCAGACACGAAAGCAUGGGGAGCGAACGGG
rnacentral:rRNA from 1 species